GUGCUCACUUUGGCAGCAUAUAUACUAAAAUUGGAACGAUACAGAUAAGAUUAGCAUGGUCCCUGCGCAAGGAUGACACGCAAAUUCGUGCAACGUUCCAUAUUUUU
ensembl:snRNA U6 U6 spliceosomal RNA